UUUAAAAAAUGUACAAAUUACACAACCUGAUAUUGAUAUACAGAUAUCCCCCGUAGUAAUAUCUUCGUUUCUAAAUAAAUACAUAUUAUUGAUCUUUUAUAUUUCUUGUGUAUACAAAAAUUGUUUAUAAACAAUUAUCAUAUUUGUUUUAUUAUUAUUAUUAUUUCCUUCAAUUAAGGAGCCCAAAAAUAAAAUCUUUCACAGGGCAGAUGAAAAACUAGUUGCGAUACUGAUGUUGGUUCCUAUCCCUCACCACCCGGCCACCCCAUUGUGGCUUGGUCGAACCCACGAUAGAUGUAAACGGAUACGUAACCAAAAAUUCAUACAAAACCAAAUAGCUUGACUCCGAAAGGAAAGGAACUUUAAACGUAGCGAUUCGUUAUUCAUAGAGGAAGGAUUAAGAUCACUUUUAAGAUUACAGAAAGAAAUUAGGUGGGCAGAAAACAAGAAGAGAAGUAUGAUAAGAUUAUACUGUGUAGUGCGUAAUUUGGAGGCAUCGUAUUAAGUGUGAAGUGGAACACAGGUUUGUCCCAAAUUUGACAUCUGGUCACAGUACAUUGCCAAAAUGUUUUGCCAACAAAUGUAGUUGAUAGUUUUUAAGGCAAUAGAAAUAAAAUUUCUACGUUAACGAAAGAAGCUGUGUUCGGACAUACGUCUAAGAAUCUAUCUUCGA
rnacentral:lncRNA from 1 species